CUUUGCCUGCAAGAAGACAGAGAGACAACCAUGAGAGUUCCGACCGGUCACCUUCAGCCCAAAGCAGUAUUUCUGAUGUUCAAAAAAAGUUCUUUCUUAAAUUUGGAGGGGAGCUGAGGGCUUAAACAAUCUGCAAGACAAGACCAGAUCUUAGAACAUCUCAAAAUGUUUUGAGAAAAGGAUGUACUGAUGAAGCUAAAGGGAGCGAGCAUCACACGAUUUCAUCCCCGUUCAUAUGCCAACAGUGCAGGUCUUACUCAUCUGCAAAGACUGAUAGGAGAAACCUGUCCGAAGGGGAACAUACCGUAUUUUGUCGGAAAGACGUCCUCAUCUGUCACUAGCUUCUGCACCGAACUCAUGACAAAGUCAACAUACUGAGGAGCAGUGCACUUGAUCUUCUUUCCCCGCUCAUCAUACCAGUAGUACUGUCUGUGGAAAGAAUGGAAAAUGUCACCACAUUUACACCACCUCAGCUCAACUCUGAUGAGUGCUGUGGACAGAAUCACCACGUGCCGUGGAGAAAGGGAGGCACCGCUCACGUGCCAUGAACGUCUCGCCUGGUAAAGUUUCUUCUCUUCCGGUGCUGGCUUUUUCC